rnacentral:rRNA from 1 species
CCCUUUAGCCCCUUUCCGCCUGUAUACCGCCGUCGUCAGCUUACCCUCUGAAGGACUAGUAGUAGGCUUAACCAGUAAUACUCAAAACGACAGGUCGAGGCGCAGCUUAUAAGGGGGGAAGAGAUGGGCUACAUUCCCUGAAGCAGGGAAAACGGAAAGUGCGCUGAAACGCGCGCUGGAAGGAGGAUUUAGCCGUAAGCAGGAAGUAGAGUGUUCUGCUGAAGCAGGCCCUGAAGCGCGCACACACCGCCCGUCACUCUCCCUAAGCAAAAUCAAUCCAUAACUAAUACCCAAUAAAACACAAGGGGAGGCAAGUCGUAACAUGGUAAGUGUACCGGAAGGUGCACUUGGAUAAC